rnacentral:rRNA from 1 species
AUGCCCUCAUCCUCUGGUCGCCGCCGCCGCGGCCGUCGAGGCACCCGCCGCCGACACCGCAAUUCGACAAGGACCUGGGCAGAGCUGCCGCUGGUCGCCAUCUCGACCAUUCUCCACAAGCUCGACCACAUCGAGAUCCUGAUGGGGGCCGGCCAGGUGUGCCGCUCCUGGCGCCGCGCCGCGCGCGACGAACCCGAGCUGUGGCGUCGCAUCGACAUGCGCUUCCACGCCGAUCUCUUCUACCAGCUCAACCUCCACGGGAUGGCGCAGGCCGCCGUCCGCCGCAGCAAGGGGCAGUGCGAGGCCUUCUGGGGCGAGUACGCCGGCGACGACGACUUCCUCCUCUACCUCGGCGACCAGGCACCAUCUCCCAAAAGUCUUCGACUCAUUUCUUGCUAUGAUGUUUCUAACGAAGGUUUCACAGUUGCGAUAGAGAAGUUCCCUUUGCUUGAGGAGCUUGAGCUUUCAUUGUGUUCAAAUGUGGGUGAGGGUGGUGUGUUUGGGGUUGUUGGCAAAGCAUGCCCGCAGCUGAAGCGCUUCAGACAGAGCAAACAUUCAUUCUUUGAUUUUGAAGCCAGUGGCUACAAUAAGGACGAUGAAGCCCUGGGGGUUGCAACUAUGCGCGAGCUACGCUCUCUGCAGCUCUUUGGCAACAACCUCACCAACGAAGGACUGACAGCCAUCCUGGACAACUGCCAGCACCUGGAGUCCCUUGACAUUCGUCAUUGCUUCAAUGUCAACAUGGACGACACCCUGCGAGCAAAGUGUGGCAGGAUAAAUACGGUGAUGCUUCCACAUGACUAA